rnacentral:rRNA from 1 species
GACGAACGCUGGCGGCAUGCCUAACACAUGCAAGUCGAACGGAGAAUUCCUUCGGGAAUUCUUAGUGGCGAACGGGUGAGUAACGCGUAGGUAACCUGCCCUUUGGAUGGGGACAACAUUCCGAAAGGAGUGCUAAUACCGAAUGUGACGAUUUUACCGCAUGGUUUAAUCGUGAAAGAUGGCCUCUACAUGUAAGCUAUCGCCAAAGGAUGGGCCUGCGUCUGAUUAGCUAGUUGGUGAGGUAACGGCCCACCAAGGCAAUGAUGGGUAGCCGGCCUGAGAGGGUGAACGGCCACAAGGGGACUGAGACACGGCCCUU